AUUGAACGCUGGCGGCAGGCCUAACACAUGCAAGUCGAGCGGAUGAAGGGAGCUUGCUCCUGGAUUCAGCGGCGGACGGGUGAGUAAUGCCUAGGAAUCUGCCUGGUAGUGGGGGAUAACGUCCGGAAACGGGCGCUAAUACCGCAUACGUCCUGAGGGAGAAAGUGGGGGAUCUUCGGACAUCACGCUAUCAGAUGAGCCUAGGUCGGAUUAGCUAGUUGGUGGGGUAAAGGCCUACCAAGGCGACGAUCCGUAACUGGUCUGAGAGGAGGAUCAGUCACACUGGAACUGAGACACGGUCCAGACUACUACGGGAGGCAGCAGUGGGGAAUAGUGGACAAUGGGCGAAAGCCUGAUCCAGCCAUGCCGCGUGUGUGAAGAAGGUCUUCUGAUUGUAAAGCACUUUAAGUUGGGAGGAAGGGCAGUAAGUUAAUACCUUGCUGUUUUGACGUUACCAACAGAAUAAGCACCGGCUAACUUCGUG
rnacentral:rRNA from 1 species